GACGAACGCUGGCGGCGUGCUUAACACAUGCAAGUCGAACGGAAAGGCCCUGCUUUUGUGGGGUGCUCGAGUGGCGAACGGGUGAGUAACACGUGAGUAACCUGCCCUUGACUUUGGGAUAACUUCAGGAAACUGGGGCUAAUACCGGAUAGGAGCUCCUGCUGCAUGGUGGGGGUUGGAAAGUCUCGGCGGUUGGGGAUGGACUCGCGGUUUAUCAGCUUGUUGGUGGGGUAGUGGCUUACCAAGGCUUUGACGGGUAGCCGGCCUGAGAGGGUGACCGGCCACAUUGGGACUGAGGUACGGCCCAGACUCCUACGGGAGGCAGCAGUGGGGAAUAUUGCACAAUGGGCGGAAGCCUGAUGCAGCAACGCCGCGUGCGGGAUGACGGCCUACGGGUUGUAAACCGCUUUCGCCGGUGACGAAGCGUGAGUGACGGUAAUGGGUAAAGAAGCACCGGCUAACUACGUG
rnacentral:rRNA from 1 species